GUCUUAAUAAUAUACAUAUUAUUCUUGAGGGGCCAAAUGUGUAAAGUGGCAAAACUUAAAACAUUAAAAGUAUAAAAAAAUUAAAAACACACAUAGAGUGUGCGUGUGUGUAUAUACGAUCGAUCAGGGACAGAGGGUGAGGUGAAACCCUAGUUUCACCAAAAUCCAUCAAAUUGAAGGGGGAUUGAAGGGCUAAACUAAUGCAUGAACCAAGAUUUUCGAUCACUUUAGCGUUUCUACCAUCAUGAACGUGUCAAGGAGAGGUCAAGCAUAGGAGGAUAACGGGUCAAGAUAAGGCAAGGUGACAAAUACACUUAUUGGAGUACUCGAGGUAAGUGAAUUUCGAUUCACUUUUUAGUAGGUUUAAUAGAUUUUAAUACUUAUGUUUACGAAACAUCAUGAAAGAACAUGUAAUAAUCAGAAGUACAAAGCUAAUAAUGCCUCAUUAUUGAAGAAGGUUGUAUUUAAGCCGAAAGUAAAUUGGUGGGUUUAAACGGGUCGAAUUUUAUGUGCAUAUGUUGCGUAAUGUAAUGAAAUUCGUUAUGGUUAAGACCUUGGGUAAGAAUUUUUAGUCAUUAUGUAAGGGGAACAUUUCCCGGACCAUUAGGAACAAGUUUUAUAUGAUUCGGUUGUCGGUUAGUGAAUGAACGGAUUGUUUCGUGUUAGUGUAGGAAAUUUUAUAAGUAUAUGUGUAUAGGAAUCCAAAGGGCACGUGGGUUGAAUCAUAGAUUGUCUAUACUAUGUAAAGUUGUGAAUGUGACAUUCCGGCAUAAACCUACAUGUAAAAGAAGCUUGUGUAUAUAUUCGUGAUUAAUUGAUUGUGCGUAGGAAGGAACAUUGGCAUGUAUGAAGGUACGCAUGUAUAUAUAUAAGUGUAUAUAUAUAUAUAUAUGUAUGUAUGUAUGAUAAUAAGUACGUAGGUGUGAAUGUAUGUGUGAAUGAAUGUUCAAUGCUUAAGACAUAUGCAUGAACGUUAUCAAAGUGUUCGAGUAUUUAUGGUUACUAAUGAUGUGUGUUGAGUUGGAAUGUAAUGUAGGUAUGGGAUCGUUGGCUUCAUGAAGAAAUGGAGCUGGAUUUGGAUAAGAGUAUUUAAGAAAGCGCUUGGACAAUUCCACGACUACUUUAUAGAAUGCUCUACGAAAUUCUAUUAUAUAGUUUAAUGUUGUAUGGUAUGUUAAUGACUAAUGGUUUGGUUGUACGUGGUGUCCACAGGUAUCGCUUGGGUUUUCUCUACAUUUAUUGAAGUGAAGCGGACUUAGUUCGAGUUGAGAGCAAGGAUUGUACGGGGUAGAAUGGUCACAUAGUGUAACUAAUAUAGGUUUUGAAGUAUUAAUGUUAUAAAACGUUAUAAAUCCGUUUUAAUGAAUAUAUGGCAUUUCGCAUUUGAACCUUCAUGUGUUUGAUAUGUCUAUUAAAGAACGAAAUUUUUGGGCUCUUGUUUUCCGUUGCGUCGUAUUUUAAGUUAUUACACGUUAGUCUUACAGGGAAUUGUUCUUAUUACGAACGGGUCAUGCCCGAAUUUUGUUAAAUAAUAGUAUGAUAAUAUUACAUUUU